CAGCAGCCGCGGUAAUGCGAAGGGGGCUAGCGUUGCUCGGAAUGACUGGGCGUAAAGGGCGCGUAGGCGGUUGACACAGUCAGAUGUGAAAUUCCCGGGCUUAACCUGGGGGCUGCAUUUGUGACUGGCAAGCUAGAGUGUGGCAGAGGGGGGUGGAAUUCCGCGUGUAGCAGUGAAAUGCGUAGAUAUGCGGAGGAACACCGAUGGCGAAGGCAGCCCCCUGGGCCAACACUGACGCUCAUGCACGAAAGCGUGGGGAGCAAACAGGAUUAGAUACCCCGGUAGUCCCUGUCUCUUAUAC
rnacentral:rRNA from 1 species